CUCUGCCAACACAUGGGAAUGGGAUCAACUCUGCCUUCCCCCCUUAUCCAAUCUCUUCCUCUUUGUAAUCGACUCCCAGUCCACACCUUCACCAUAUGCAGUAACAUCAGAACCAAUUCACAAGAAAAUGGUACUAUCCCCAGCUUUGACCUCCACACCCUCUUCGUUCAACCCCUUCUUAACGCUUUCUCAUUUUCACCCAUUCACGACUUUCCCCAUAACUUCCAAUGCCAAAAAUGUGAACCAUUCUUGUUUAAUUGUGAAGGCUCAGACUUUAGAAUUUUCGGGUUCCUUCUUUGAACGUGGGUUCGGGGGAGAUGACGACCCGCCAACUGCUCCCGGGUCGGGCAUUACCGCUGUUGAAGAUAAAGAGGAGCCCCAGUGCCCUCCUGGCUUGAGGCCAUAUGAAACUAUGGCGGUUUUGAGGCCUGAUAUGUCUGAAGAUGAGCGACUCGCUCUUACCCAGAAGUAUGAAGAGUUGCUUGUUGCUGGUGGUGGCAUGUAUGUGGAGGUGUUCAACCGAGGGGUUAUUCCCCUUGCCUACAGCAUCAGGAGGAAAAAUAAAGCUGGAGAAACCAAUACUUACUUGGACGGGAUCUACUUGCUGUUUACUUACUUUACCAAACCCGAAUCCAUGACAGCUCUCGAGGCAACACUCAAUACUGAUGAUGAUGUUAUACGCUCAUCCAGCUUCAAAAUAAGGAAAAGAAAAUACUAGGUAGAUUGAUUAGUCGAUUCAUUUAGCGGUGAAAGGGGAUGAUCGGGAGGAGACAGGUUAUGUGUUCGAGCCAGGAACCAACCACUAAUGCUUGGAUUAUAUCAUAUCUCUUUGGGUGCGGCUCUUCCUCGGUAGACGCGGAACCAAAAUUUGAAGCUUACGGGUUCAGUAUCUGGUUCUUUUACGUCACUUGAUUUUAAAUUAAUCAUUUGUACAUAUUCCAUGAAUUUCACAAAACAAAUACUUAAUUAACCCGUAAGCGAAGGUCUAGCUUCGCCUUUGUUCCU